rnacentral:rRNA from 1 species
UAGGGAAUCUUCGGCAAUGGGGGCAACCCUGACCGAGCAACGCCGCGUGAGUGAAGAAGGUUUUCGGAUCGUAAAGCUCUGUUGUAAGAGAAGAACGUGUGUGAGAGUGGAAAGUUCACACAGUGACGGUAACUUACCAGAAAGGGACGGCUAACUACGUGCCAGCAGCCGCGGUAAUACGUAGGUCCCGAGCGUUGUCCGGAUUUAUUGGGCGUAAAGCGAGCGCAGGCGGUUUAAUAAGUCUGAAGUUAAAGGCAGUGGCUUAACCAUUGUUCGCUGUGGAAACUGUUAAACGUGAGUGCAGAAGGGGAGAGUGGAAGUCCAUGUGUAGCAGUGAAAUGCGGAGUUAUAUGGAGGAACACCGGUGGCGAAAGCGGCUCUCUGGUCUGUAACUGACGCUGAGGCUCGAAAGCGUGGGGAGCAAACAGG